GACGAACGCUGGCGGCGUGCUUAACACAUGCAAGUCGAACGGUGAACCAGAGCUUGCUCUGGGGAUCAGUGGCGAACGGGUGAGUAACACGUGGGCAACCUGCCCCAGACUCUGGGAUAACCUCGGGAAACCGAUGCUAAUACCGGAUACGACCACUUCGGACAUCCGACGGUGGUGGAAAGUUUUUCGGCUGGGAUGGGCCCGCGGCCUAUCAGCUAGUUGGUGGGGUAAUGGCCUACCAAGGCGACGACGGGUAGCCGGCCUGGAGAGGGCGACCGGGCCACACUGGAACUGAGACACGGUCCAGACUCCUACGGGAGGCAGCAGUGGGGAAUAUUGCACAAUGGGCGAAAGGCCUGAUGCAGCGACGCCGCGUGAGGGACGAC
rnacentral:rRNA from 1 species